UUUGACGGGAAAACCAAAAGAUAUGUUGACUUCCCUCUUACAGAGAUCUUGCAAAUGAUGGGACGUGCAGGGCGUCCGCAAUUUGACCAACAUGGGAAAGCGGUCAUUCUUGUACAUGAACCUAAAAAAAGCUUUUACAAAAAGUUCUUGUACGAACCAUUCCCCGUAGAAAGUAGCUUGAAAGAGAAGCUGCACGAUCACUUCAAUGCAGAAAUAGUAUCUGGAA